CCUGUCCGGGCCCUUUGCUGUCAGUGCUUUGCUUUAACCCCAGUGCCUGCACAGUCCAGGCGCUGAAGGAAGCGAAGUAGUCGGUGACGACUUUUAAACAAAUGCACAGGGGAAGGAGGGCGUGGAAGGGCCCUGUGCUCUGGGUGGCGGGGUUGGAGGACCCUGCCCAGAGCCCAUCCCACACUGCUCCAGGAUCUCAGGCACGAAAGGCACCGGCCACUUCCUUCAGAGGCACUCGUUAGAAGUCCUGUGACUGCGGCUUCUACAGCUCAGCCCCUGAGGAAGGAGCCGCCCUGCCUUGGUACUUCCUCUCCUUUAUGAGCUGACACCCAAGUUUCUCAAAUUAUCACAGUGGAAAUCAGAUCAUGCACUUCCUGUUUGGACACGAGGGCAGCUCCUACUCCCCACACCAGCGUUAGAGGCACUUAUCACGGGUCUGGCAGGCGCUGUUCUGCUGAGCUACAUCCCCAGCCCCAGCUCUGUCAAUCUUGAGGUCAUUCCUCCUGCACUCCAGGACGCCUGCCUGCGGUGGAGCUGAACGUCCCCAACCCCGCUGCCUGGGCUUCUAGGCUCCAUCGCUGGCCUGGCCCAGCCUGCUGUUAGAUCCAGCAACUGUCAAUUUUACUAUUGAAGAACCCCUGCGUGCCUGCCGCUCUAGGGAACUCUGUCUCCUUAAACCUCUUCUGUGAGCCUGGAUACCUGCUCAGAAACUCCCUCUGAUCUCACCCAAGACUUCUGAAUAAGAAAGAGACAGCAUGCGGGCCUCUUUCUUGUCACCUGCUGUCACUUGCCAGCCCCGGGGCACCAGCUGCGCUCCCUUGGUGUGUUCUGACUUUUGCUUCCUGUGUCCUUGCUUGUGUGGGACAGUGACGGAAUUUCAACAGACGGAAUCCGGAAGAGGUGACUGAAGGGAGCACAAGCAAAGAUACCUGAGGAUGCAGGGACCCGGAGUUACGUUUGGGAGUUGGAUUCUGAGCAUUUAUGCUCCCAGGGUUGUGACUCCCAGGGGCAGAGGACACUGAAGGGGCCAUCUGGUCUACCCCUCAUUCCCAUUCGCUCCAUCUAUUACCCUACUGAGGCCCAGAGAGAUCAAAUGUCAUCAGCGCAGAGACAAAUCGGGGUCACCCUGCCUAAGGCCUUCGAUGCCAGCUUAGGCCACUUGUGCUAAAGUCCCUGGAUAGCAGGGGCGACUGAAAGCUUUGGCUGGAGUAGGGACCCAAUCGGAGAGGUGUUUUCUGACGGCAGGAUGUGACCCAUCCUUGGAUUGCAAAGUUAAUUCAGCAGAUCAUGAAUCUUAAAAUAUCA